GAUGAACGCUGGCGGCGUGCCUAAUACAUGCAAGUCGAGCGAACAGAUGAGGAGCUUGCUCCUCUGACGUUAGCGGCGGACGGGUGAGUAACACGUGGAUAACCUACCUAUAAGACUGGGAUAACUUCGGGAAACCGGAGCUAAUACCGGAUAAUAUUUUGAACCGCAUGGUUCAAUAGUGAAAGACGGUUUUGCUGUCACUUAUAGAUGGAUCCGCGCUGCAUUAGCUAGUUGGUAAGGUAACGGCUUACCAAGGCAACGAUGCCUAGCCGACCUGAUAGGGUGAUCGGCCACACUAGAACUGAGACACGGUCCAGACUCCUAGGGGAGGCAGCAGUAGGGAAUCUUCCGCAAUGGGCGAAAGCCUGACGGAGCAACGCCGCGUGAGUGAUGAAGGUCUUCGGAUCGUAAAACUCUGUUAUUAGGGAAGAACAAAUGUGUAAGUAACUAUGCACGUCUUGACGGUACCUAAUCAGAAAGCCACGGCUAACUACGUG
rnacentral:rRNA from 1 species